rnacentral:rRNA from 1 species
UGGGGGAUUUUGCACAAUGGGCGCAAGCCUGAUGCAGCGACGCCGCGUGAGGGAUGAAGGCCUUCGGGUUGUAAACCUCUUUCGCUGGGUUGAAAGGCCAUGCUUUGGGUGUGGUUGAUUUGAACUGGUAAAGAAGUACCGGCUAACUACGUGCCAGCAGCCGCGGUAAUACGUAGGGUACUAGCGUUGUCCGGAUUUAUUGGGCGUAAAGGGCUUGUAGGUGGUUUGUCGCGUCUGUCGUGAAAUCCUGUGGCUUAACCAUGGGCUUGCGGUGGGUACGGGCAGGCUUGAGUGCGGUAGGGGAGACUGGAAUUCCUGGUGUAGCGGUGGAAUGCGGAGAUAUCAGGAGGACCACCGGUGGCGAAGGCGGGUCUCUGGGCCGUUACUGACACUGAGGAGCGAAAGCGUGGGGAGCGAACAGG